rnacentral:rRNA from 1 species
UACGUAGGGUGCGAGCGUUGCCCGGAUUUAUUGGGCGUAAAGGGCGCGUAGGUGGCUCGGCACGUCCGUUGUGAAAUCGCUCGGCUCAACUGGGCGAGGUCAGCGGAUACGGUCGAGCUUGAGCCAGCUAGGGGGCAAUGGAAUUCCCGGUGUAGUGGUGGAAUGCGUAGAUAUCGGGAGGAACACCAGUGGCGAAGGCGGUUGCCUGGAGCUUUGCUGACGCUGAUGCGCGAAAGCGUGGGGAGCGAUCCGG